GACGUAGGGCGCGAGCGUUGUCCGGAUUUAUUGGGCGUAAAGAGCUCGUAGGCGGUUUGUCGCGUCUGCUGUGAAAACCCGAGGCUCAACCUCGGGCCUGCAGUGGGUACGGGCAGACUAGAGUGCGGUAGGGGAGAUUGGAAUUCCUGGUGUAGCGGUGGAAUGCGCAGAUAUCAGGAGGAACACCAAUGGCGAAGGCAGAUCUCUGGGCCGUAACUGACGCUGGAGGAAGCGGAAAGCAUGGGGAGCGAACAGG
rnacentral:rRNA from 1 species